rnacentral:rRNA from 1 species
GACGAACGCUGGCGGCGUGCUUAACACAUGCAAGUCGAACGGUGAAGCGCCUUCCUUUUUGGUGGGUGUGGAUGAGUGGCGAACGGGUGAGUAACACGUGAGUAACCUGCCCCCUUCUUCUGGAUAACCGCAUGAAAGUGUGGCUAAUACGGGAUAUUCUGGGUCUGUCGCAUGAUGGGUCUGGGAAAGUUCUUGUUUCGGUGGGGGAUGGGCUCGCGGCCUAUCAGCUUGUUGGUGGGGUGAUGGCCUACCAAGGCGGUGACGGGUAGCCGGCCUGAGAGGGUAGAAGGACACACUGGGACAGAGACACGGCCCAGACUCCUACGGGAGGCAGCAGUGGGAAAUAUAGCGCGAUGGGCGCAAGCAUGAUGCAGAGACGCCGCGUGAGGGAUGGAGGCCUUCGGGUUGUGAACCUCUUUCGCCAGUGAAGCAGGCCUGCCUCGUUUGUGGGUGGGUUGACGGUAGCUGGAUAAGAAGCGCCGGCUAACUACGUG